rnacentral:rRNA from 1 species
UACGGGGGGGGCAAGCGUUGUUCGGAAUUACUGGGCGUAAAGGGCGCGUAGGCGGCGUGACAAGUCACUUGUGAAAUCUCCGGGCUUAACCCGGAGCGGCCAAGUGAUACUGUCGUGCUAGAGUGCGGAAGGGGCUACUGGAAUUCUCGGUGUAGCGGUGAAAUGCGUAGAUAUCAGGAGGAACACCGGUGGCGAAGGCGGGUCUCUGGGCAGUAACUGACGCUGAGGAGCGAAAGCGUGGGGAGCGAACAGG